GAAAAAUUCAUUCGAAGCCCCGAUCUGAUCGAUCUUCUUGAGAGUGCUAGCUCAUGCGAAGACCUUCUUCUUAACUGAUCUGGAUCUUUUCUUCAAAUCUCUAAAAUCUUUCUAGAGAUUGAAGAUGGACUUCUGGAGAAGAUGAAGAGGUGAAAGAAAGAUGGAGAGAAAAAUAAUUUUUUUCUUAUUUUUUUUCACUUUUCAAACCCUAAGGACCAAAACCCUAUAAACCUAAUUUUUGCAUACACCCC
rnacentral:lncRNA from 1 species